AUUAAACGCUGGCGGCAUGCCUUACACAUGCAAGUCGAACGGCAGCACGGGGGCAACCCUGGUGGCGAGUGGCGGACGGGUGAGUAAAGCAUCGGAACGUAUCCUGGAGUGGGGGAUAACGUAGCGAAAGUUACGCUAAUACCGCAUAUUCUGUGAGCAGGAAAGCAGGGGAUCGCAAGACCUUGCGCUCUGGGAGCGGCCGAUGUCGGAUUAGCUAGUUGGUGGGGUAAAGGCCUACCAAGGCGACGAUCCGUAGCGGGUCCGAGAGGAUGAUCCGCCACACUGGGACUGAGACACGGCCCAGACUCCUACGGGAGGGCAGCAGUGGGGGAAGUUUUGGUACAAUGGGCGGAAGCCUGAUCCAGCCAUGCCGCGUGAGUGAAGAAGG
rnacentral:rRNA from 1 species